rnacentral:rRNA from 1 species
GAUGAACGCUGGCGGCGUGCCUAAUACAUGCAAGUAGAACGCUGAAGGAAGGAGCUUGCUCUUUCCGGAUGAGUUGCGAACGGGUGAGUAACGCGUAGGUAACCUGCCUGGUAGCGGGGGAUAACUAUUGGAAACGAUAGCUAAUACCGCAUAACAGUAGAUGUUGCAUGAUAUCUACUUAAAAGGUGCAAUUGCACCACUACCAGAUGGACCUGCGUUGUAUUAGCUAGUUGGUGAGGUAACGGCUCACCAAGGCGACGAUACAUAGCCGACCUGAGAGGGUGAUCGGCCAAACUGGGACUGAGACACGGCCCAGACUCCUACGGGAGGCAGCAGUAGGGAAUCUUCGGCAAUGGACGGAAGUCUGACCGAGCAACGCCGCGUGAGUGAAGAAGGUUGUCGGAUCGUAAAGCUCUGUUGUAAGGGAAGAACGAGUGUGAGAGUGGAAAGUUCACACUGUGACGGUAUCUUACCAGAAAGGGACGGCUAACUACGUG